GAUGAAGAACGUAGCGAAAUGCGAUAAGUAAUGUGAAUUGCAGAAUUCCGUGAAUCAUCGAAUCUUUAAACGCACAUUGCGCCCCCUGGCAUUCCGGGGGGCAUGCCUGUCCGAGCGUCAUUUCUGCCCUCCAGCCCGGCUGGGUGUUGGGCGCUGUCCCCCCGGGGACACGCCCCAAAGGCAGUGGCGGCGCCGCGUCGGGUCCUCGAGCGUAUGGGGCUUUGUCACCCGCUCGGGACGGACUCGUCGGCGCUGGUCUUCCUCCAGGCGACCCUUCGGGGCUCGUCUUCCUUCGGUUGACCUCGGAUCAGGUAGGGUUACCCGCUGAACUUAAGCAUAUCAAUAAGCGGAGGA
rnacentral:misc_RNA from 1 species